UGAAGCGGAAGUAAAAUUCCGUGGAGGACCGAACCACGUUGGUGUUGAAAAACCAUGGGAUGAGCUGUGGAUAGCGGAGAAAUUCCAAUCGAACUCGGAGAUAGCUGGUUCUCCUCGAAAUAGCUUUAGGGCUAGCGUCGGAAAUGAGUAAUGGAGGUAGAGCACUGAAUGGGGUAGGGGCUGACAACAGUUACUGAACCUUAUCAAACUCCGAAUGCCAUAUACUUGAAUUCCGGCAGUCAGACUGCGAAUGAUAAGAUCCGUGGUCAAAAGGGAAACAGCCCAGACCACCAGCUAAGGUCCCAAAGUGUAAGUUAAGUGGGAAAGGAUGUGUGAUUUCUAAGACAACUAGGAUGUUGGCUCAGAAGCAGCCACUCAUUUAAAGAGUGCGUAAUAGCUCACUAGUCAAGAGAUCAUGCGCCGAAAAUGUCCGGGGCUAAAACUUACCACCGAAGCUGUGGACUCGAAAGAGUGGUAGAGGAGCAUCCUGUAUGAGUUGAAGUUGUACCGGAAGGAACAGUGGAUUGUACAGGAGAGAGAAUGCUGGCAUAAGUAGCGAGAAAUAAGUGAGAAUCUUAUUGGUCGAAAACCUAAGGUUUCCUGGGGAAGGUUCGUCCGCCCAGGGUAAGUCGGGACCUAAGCCGAGGCCGAAAGGCGUAGGUGAUGGACAAUCGGUUGAAAUUCCGAUACCGCAUAAAAGCGUUUGACAAAAGGGAUGACGCAGGAGGAUAAGGUGUGCAUACAAAUGGAUGUAUGUCUAAGCACCGAGUCAGGUAUACCAGGAAAAUCCGGUAUAUCAAUGAUGAGGUGUGAUGGGGAACCCGCAAGGGGAAGUACCUGAUUUCACGCUGCCGAGAAAAGUCUCUAUGGAGCUUUUAUGUGCCCGUACCGCAAACCGACACAGGUAGGUGAGGAGAGAAUCCUAAGACCAUCGGAAGAAUUGUUGUUAAGGAACUAGGCAAAUUAACUCCGUAACUUAGGGAGAAGGAGAGCCACGCAAGUGGCCGCAGAGAAAAGGCUCAAGCAACUGUUUAUCAAAAACACAGGUUUCUGCUAAAGCGAAAGCUGAAGUAUAGGAGCUGACGCCUGCCCGGUGCUGGAAGGUUAAGGGGAAGACUUAGCGCAAGCGAAGGUCAGAACUUAAGCCCCAGUAAACGGCGGCCGUAACUAUAACGGUCCUAAGGUAGCGAAAUUCCUUGUCGGGUAAGUUCCGACCCGCACGAAUGGCGUAAUGAUUUGAGCACUGUCUCGACAACAAAUCCGGCGAAAUUGAAGUGCAAGUGAAGAUGCUUGCUACCCGCGAUUGGACGGAAAGACCCCGUAGAGCUUUACUGCAGUUUAGCACUGAAUUUCGGUAUUGUCUGUACAGGAUAGGUGGGAGACUAGGAAGUAGUGGCGCCAGCCAUUACCGAGUCGAUGUUGGGAUACCACCCUGACAGUACUGGAAUUCUAACCGGGCUCCAUGAAACUGGAGACGGGACAAUGUUAGGCGGGCAGUUUGACUGGGGCGGUCGCCUCCUAAAAAGUAACGGAGGCGUACAAAGGUUCCCUCAGAAGGGUUAGAAAUUCUUCGAAGAGUGCAAAGGCAGAAGGGAGCUUGACUGCGACACAAACAAGUGGAGCAGGGACGAAAGUCGGGCUUAGUGAUCCGGUGGUACCUCGUGGGAGGGCCAUCGCUCAACGGAUAAAAGCUACCUCGGGGAUAACAGGCUGAUCUCCCCCAAGAGUUCACAUCGACGGGGAGGUUUGGCACCUCGAUGUCGGCUCGUCGCAUCCUGGGGCUGAAGUAGGUCCCAAGGGUUGGGCUGUUCGCCCAUUAAAGCGGCACGCGAGCUGGGUUCAGAACGUCGUGAGACAGUUCGGUCCCUAUCCGUCGCGGGCGCAGGAAAUUUGAGAGGAGCUGUCCUUAGUACGAGAGGACCGGGAUGGACCGACCGCUGGUGAACCAGUUGUUCCGCCAGGAGCAUAGCUGGGUAGCCAAGUUGGGAAGGGAUAAACGCUGAAAGCAUCUAAGUGUGAAGCCCACCUCAAGAUAAGAU
rnacentral:rRNA from 1 species